GGGGGCAUGGCUCAGUGGUAUAGCAUUUGCUUGGCAUGUAGAACGUCCCAUGUCCAAUCUCUGGCAUCUCCA
rnacentral:tRNA from 1 species